rnacentral:rRNA from 1 species
GCCCAGAUGGGAUUAGCUAGUAGGUGGGGUAACGGCUCACCUAGGCGACGAUCCCUAGCUGGUCUGAGAGGAUGACCAGCCACACUGGAACUGAGACACGGUCCAGACUCCUACGGGAGGCAGCAGUGGGGAAUAUUGCACAAUGGGCGCAAGCCUGAUGCAGCCAUGCCGCGUGUAUGAAGAAGGCCUUCGGGUUGUAAAGUACUUUCAGCGGGGAGGAAGGGAGUAAAGUUAAUACCUUUGCUCAUUGACGUUACCCGCAGAAGAAGCACCGGCUAACUCCGUGCCAGCAGCCGCGGUAAUACGGAGGGUGCAAGCGUUAAUCGGAAUUACUGGGCGUAAAGCGCACGCAGGCGGUUUGUUAAGUCAGAUGUGAAAUCCCCGGGCUCAACCUGGGAACUGCAUCUGAUACUGGCAAGCUUGAGUC